UCACCGAGACAUUAGCUAGGAAGCUAUGGAGGUGAGCAGGGCUUAUUAUAAGCCUCUUAGUGAUUCUGCAGGAGGUGAAGAAAUGGUCUCUGUUAGGGGAAUCAAUCCCCGGGUAAUUACCUAGCCACACUGCAGGCUGCUGAGGAGGACUAGGACCCGGCUGAGGCUGCGAAGACUAGUGAGCUCCAGUUCAAUAAGAGCCUUUUAGGAGAGCCCAUUGUCUCAGACUUAAGAGAGGGGAGCAGACUGAUGAUGAUAAUGAUGAUGACGACGAUGAUGAUGAUAAAUACACAGCCGGUAAUCAAGUGGUGUUUGACGGGCACAAGUGCACAGCAGGGCUCAUCAGAGUUUAGCUGCACGCGGGCGGCCGAUCUAUAAUCCGUCCAUCUUCGAGACUCGCUUGCCCUGUUCGGGGUCACUAUCCCAGCAUGCACUGGGAGAGGGGAAGGGAAACACCCUGGACAGAUCUCCAGGGAUAGAACAGGUAAACAAAUUGCUUCACCUCCAUCCUCGACCUUUGUAUCCUCAUCAAUAAAAUGUUGUGGUGUCCCAAAUCAUAACUUCUCUCUGAACAGUGACACAUGAGCCUCUCUUCUCCCUCCUAAAGGAGAGCAUCACUUACCCAUAACACCUUGCAAAUAGCUCAAGAAAAAAUAAAGACAAUCUGUUUUUAGAGGGAAACACAAAACUGAAAGUCAGUUCAAAAUGAAGGGGAAAGAUUAGGGAGAAUUUUGACAAAGAUGUCCGCUGAUGGUAAUAAAUAUUUCCUAAUUUCUGGUCAGAUCCUCAGCAUUAAUUUGUCCUCAGUGACUGGAGAAAGAUGUUUCCAAGUCUGGGCUCUGACAGAGUGCCCCCAAGAGACUGAGACCGAUUUCCCUUCAGGGACAACAAGGUUAAGCUGACGUUGAAGUACAAAGGCAGGUAUUUUGGACUGGUGACCAGAUUAAAGGUUGUUGGUCCAACAGCCGGUAUAACUAAAGAUAGGUCAGACCACCACCACCACCACCACCAACAAUUCAUCUACUUCUUCUGCUUUUGUGAGGGGUGGAGGAUGUCUCCAGCAAGCUCUGACUCUGCCCCCAAGAGGUCAAGCUACACAACGACAGCCUAUGAAGGAGAUAUUUUGGACUGAUGAGCAGAUUAGUCGAAGGAUGACUGAAUUUAAUGAGCAAAAUUGGAAAAUGAGCAAAGUAUUCUGUAAUGAAAGCUCAUAAAUAGUUUGACAUAUC